rnacentral:lncRNA from 1 species
GUCACAAUAGCUUGCAUUUAAAAACAAAAAACUUUUUUCACUGUUAUAGAUUGAAUAGCAGUGAGUUGUCUCAAAGCGGGUGUGUCAGCCCUACAGCGUGUACUCUGCCAGUACGCUGCCACCUCCUCUACUCCUCCUACUCCAUCCUCUUCCAUAACCUCCUCGGCUGAGUCCUCUUCUGCUGCUGCGUCUUGCUCCACAUCAACGGAUAGGGGACGUAACAGGGAUUAAACUGAUAAGAAUAGUACUACUUAACACACCACUCCUAUCUGGUAGCACAUUAGAUUGCAUGCGCAGUGCCCCAAAUUUGUUGUGAUCUGUGAGUAAGGUAAACGGUUGUCCAUACAAG